rnacentral:rRNA from 1 species
AGAGGGUGCAAGCGUUAAUCGGAAUUACUGGGCGUAAAGGGCACGUAGGUGGCUAAUUAAGUUGGAUGUGAAAGCCCCGGGCUUAACCUGGGAAGGUCGUCCAAUACUGGCUAGCUAGAGUACAGUAGAGGGGAGUGGAAUUUCCGGUGUAGCGGUGAAAUGCGUAGAUAUCGGAAGGAACACCAGUGGCGAAGGCGACUCUCUGGACUGCAACUGACACUGAGGUGCGAAAGCGUGGGGAGCGAACAGGAUUAGAUACCCUGGUAGUCCACGCCGUAAACGAUGAAAACUAGCUGUUUGGUGCCCUUGAGCAUUGAGUAGCGCAGCUAACGCGUUAAGUUUUCCGCCUGGGGAGUACGGCCGCAAGGUUA